CGGAUGUCCUGUCUGAUUGGUACGACUCGUCACAAUUUCCGAUUUAGUGCUGUUGAAGCCAAGAAUGGUGUCUUGGAAGAGUAAUGAUCAGGAGAAUCUUUUCAAAUAUCAAGAGCUUCUUUGUUUGGUCUUCAUUACCUUUAUUCUCAAAGAAGGAAAUGGAUGCAAGUCACUCUUAGGGAUUGAAGGGAAGUAAAAGUGUGGCAGGCAUUUUUUGCCGUUAGUGCAGUCUUAAUCAGAAUUUUCGGAAUUGGAACGGAAAAGAUCUUGCAAGCGAUGAGCUGAGUAGAAAAGCUCAUGUGGAAAAGGAAUAUUAGAUUGGCUCUUAUCCCAAGGAGGACCAAGAUAGAAGAGACGGAAAAGGAGAUUUGACCUUCAUUUUGUUCUGAAGUAUGGGAACUAUUGCCCGCUUUGGAAAAAUAUUUCGGUACAGGACAAAUAACUAUCAUGAUGACACAUGUGCUUCCACGUUCCACACAGUUGCUCCAGGGGCAUGAAAAGAAAGCGGGGAUGUAAGAGAUGCAGAGUGUAGCAGGGAGACGGCUUAGGGGGUUCGAUCCACAGAGAGCGCUCCUGAGAAGGGUAGAUUAAGCAUCCAUUUGGUUUUUAUGGAAUGGAUAUGAUUUCAAGAUCUGGUAAUCAGCCCUUUCAGAAGGCGGAGGAUUUAGAAGGGGACUGUUCGAGAAAAAUAUGAAGUCUGAAACCUUCAGACUUCAUAUUUCCCGGACAUUCCCGAACACAUGUCCCAAGGCAGAGAUAUGUGUUUUACACUUUUCUUCAUUUUU